UCAAAGAACAAGCAAGGGUGUCCAAUACACA
rnacentral:piRNA from 1 species